rnacentral:lncRNA from 1 species
UGUUCACUAGUUAUCUUAAUUUGUUUUCCAAACCCUGGAAGGCAACUGUGCUACACAGAACCCCAGUGCCAAGAUCCCACUGUUCACAUUACUCUCAUCCUUUCGGGAGUAAUACUUCUCAUUACAAAUCAAUAAAUGCACAUUUUGAAACACAUUCAUGUCAUGCAAAGUAAAACUGGCCAGCAUCUCCACUGGCGCAGUGGCUCCCAGAUCAGAUGAACUCCACUGAACCAAACUUUGCAACAUCAGACUCAUCAGUCAAAGCAAACCUUCUUAUUACAGAAAAUUGUAAUCUCUCACGUUAUUGUAAAAUAAGACAACAAUUUGCAAUACUCAACAUAACUCGGUAGAGAUGUUUAGUUCAAUAUGAUUUUAUUUAAAAAUGUGUACAGCUGAAGGAGGGAUCUGAUCUUUUGUUAAAUGAAACCAAUUUUCACGGUAUAUAUUUGGCCAUUUUAGCUUUGUAGUGAAUAAUAACAGAAAAGGAAGUUUCUGUUCAAGAUCCUCACUCCAGCACACUCAGCCAGGUACCUGGCAAGAUGACACAUUUCCUGGUCUGAAGCUCACAGCCAAUCCUCUCACUCAAGUGAAACACCAAUUCUCCAGGCAUACACACACAUACGCACAUCUUAUUUUCACUGCUCUACACAGGGCCCUGAGAAUCCUUAAUUUUAAAGUUGGGAAAAACGUGAAAGGAUUCCUUAACUCAUUGUCUGCGACAAAUCCAACUACCUUUUAACUCUUAAGAAUUGCAAGUAUAAAAUACUUGAAAUUUACAAGAUGCUCCAUUUAAUGGAACAACUCAAAUGCUAAAAAAUUAGGUCAAAUAACAUGCUUUAAUAUUUUUAAAUGUUACUUAAAACUUAUUGAGACAAGAUACGCAGCACAUUCUUGGUAUUAUAAACUCCUACUGACGACUGCUACUUAAUGGCCAAAAACAUUCAAAGAAAGAGAAGAAACUAUACUGGUAUACAACAGUAUCUGCAGGGAAUGUCAUGUUUUACAUUUUGUUAACUGAAAUUAAACCUGACAAAAAACCCAUCACUGCAGCUUCAACCUCCUGGGCUCAAGCGAUCCUCCGCCUCGCCCCCACCACCCCCAAAGGUGGCUGCGACUAUAGGCAUGUGUCACCACUCCCGGUUAAUUUUUGUAUUUUUUUGUAGAGACGGGGUCUCGCCAUGUUGCCCAGGCUGGUCUUGAACUCCUGGACUCAAGGGAUCAGCCCGCCUCAGCCUCCCAAAGUGCUGUGAUUACAGGCAUGAGCCACAGUGCCCAGCCUAAUUACAGGCUUUCUAUUCUACUUCAAGCCUCUGUUUAGGGCGUAGAGAGAAAAGUCUCCAAGGUUUAAUUUUCCAAUGCGGUUUCCAAUUUCAACCAAAAAAAACUAUUGCAAAUAAAGAAAUACAGGAGACCAGGCCAAAUCUGCUGAUCCUACCACAAACACUAAAAAUG